CCCACACAACAACUCCCUUAGCUAGUCCUUUCAGGUCAAGUCCAACAACACCUCAAGUUUACACUCACCACUCCAACACCUUAAGUUUACACUCACCACUCUGAUACGACGCUUAGGCUCAAAAGAUAAGGGCUAUCUCCCCUAUAAAUACCCCUUGAUGAUGGGUAGAAACAGGCCAAAAUACUUACAGCAUGUUUGGUUGGGUGUAAUGGCAUAGCCAUUACAUCCCUAUUACGUGGACCCCACCUAUUCAUAUGUUUGGUUGGGUGUAAUGCCCUAUUACGGGCUUAUUACAUUACGUAUGUAUUCCUGCUUAAUGACUAAUUUCUAUUCCCUGCCCAAAGUUCAGUUUCGCUUCCGUUUAGCCCUCUCCCGAUUUCUAUGCCCUGUUUUACCCUCUCAUUUUCCCAAGCCGAAAGCCACCUUCAGAACUCUCCCUCCCAACAUCAAACAGAAGCUGCCAACAAAGUCACCUCCACCGCUUCCUUUUCACUUUCAUUUGAUUGUUUUGUCGACCAAAAACAGACUUGUGUUCAUCAAGCUUCGUUCCAUUCGUUCCAUCGAUUCUCCCACGUUUCCCUUUUAGAGGUACACUUCUACUACCGAUGGCAGUCGUAUUGAUUUAUAUGCAACCUAGGCUACAAGUUUUCACUUCUUUAUGCAAAACUUCCUUGAAAGCCGUUGUUGGUUUUUGAAAUGACCAUGGGAGGUCUGCUAUUAACUAUGUUCUAUACAGUAGGUUUUUGUUUAAAUACCUGGAAAUUGCUUUGACUCUUGUUUUUCUUGAAAUAUCCGUGUCUGACACAUUCACAUAUGAGUAUGAGUAUACUGGUGGCUAUUCUGAGAGAAGUCGAACUGUUAAACUUUUCUGGGAGUUUGAGCCCAAAGAACGUUAUAUGCUGCUAAAAUUUGUGACCAGCUGUUCACGAGCUCCUUUACUGGGGUUCAAAUACUUGCAGCCGGCUUUCACAAUUCAUAAGGUUGCAAGUGAUGCUCCUCUUUGGGCUGCAAUUGGAGGUUCGGAUGUGGAGCAACUUCCAUCAGCUUCUACAUGCUAUAACACUCUCAAGGUACAAUAAUGGGGGAUGGAUGCUCUCCAGUUUAAUAAUUACUAUGUUUAAAGGCUCCAUAACAACAUCAAACUUCAACACAAGUGAUUUUUUAUUGUCUCGUAUAUGUGUUUUCUUGCUCUAUUGGAUGGUUACAGCUUCCAACAUACAAGCGGUCAAGUACUCUGAAAGCAAAGCUUCGUUAUGCAAUUAAUUCUAAUGCUGGAUUUGAACUUUCUUAAGGACCUGAGAUUUUUAACUGGCGCAAGUGAACUUCCUUAUUAUCUAAAUUCAUUUCUAUCUGCCAUAAGGAUUUUAAGAUAUUAAAAAUUUUAUGUAUGUCCGUGCUAAAGAUCAAGUGUCUUUCAAGUUUUAAUUGACAUAUAGUUUAUUUAUGGUUUACCAUUAUCACUAGGCUUUGUAACCAUGUCCAAGAGAGGCUGGUAUAUGUCGAAGACCACAAGUUUAAGACAAGGCAAUCUGUCCUGUAGGCUUAGUGACGUGUUGUUCAGUUUAUUGUUGAAGGCAAUGGCAUCUUGGUUUAACCUUGCAACACACUGGUUACUUCCAGCACCAAAUAGGGUGAUGGCUGCAGGUAAACAACCUGUUGGUGGUAAGGUUGUUACUCCAAUCCUCCUUGCUCCCAGUCCAUACAGAUUCUGUUUCAAUCAUAAAACAGUUGUGUGCUUUAAAAAAACCAGUAUGUAAAAUCAUGUUAAAAGUUCGGUUCAUUUCAAUGAAAUUGUAACAAAUAUACUAAGAUUGCUGAGUUUUUAUUGAUAGCAUUGAUUUAUUUGAACCAUGAUUUUUGUUUAUGCAAGCAACUACCGGAUUCUGGGACCAGAGUCCUUGGCUGCACCAGUCGAGGCAAAUAACACUGAUGAAAGGCCGUGCUGAAUUUGUAAGUCGGUCACCAAGAGUGGAUUCUAAACAGAAGAUGUGGAAUAGUCCGAAGACUGCCCCAGCAUGGACUAACUCUCUUGUGAAAGGUUAUUAUGCUAAGCUUAGUGAAGGUGCUAUAGAUCAUCAAGAUUACUAUUCAACCUUUCACAAGACAAACCUCCAGAAGAAAUUCACGGAGCAAUAAUGAGAAGAUUUCAGUCAGGAAUCUACUCGGAAAGCCAUGGUGGAACUGGCAGCUUCUCCGGAAUUCACAGAUUGGAUGAUUGAGCAUGCUGACAGGAUAAAACUCCUUCCACGUGAUGAUAGUUCAGAUGAAUUAGUGGGAAGUAAAUCAAGUUCAGACGAUGAAGAUGAAGAAAGCCACAGCUGGUUCAGAUUAUUUUAACUUGUAAGAACUGGGUAGAAAAUCAAAAUUGUUCAUGAAGUAUGCAUGUUUGACGUAGGGACGGAUGCAUGAUCCGGGAAAAUUUAGAAAAAUUGAACAUAGUCAUGCCAGUAAUAUAUUAUCUGAUACUUCCAUACCUUGCUUGCCGGAUAACAUAGGUAUUUGACCUCUUUCAUGUAUCUUAGGAAAUUUAGUCCCUGUUUUAGGGUUGAUUUACUAUUACAUUUUCUUUUUGACUAGUAAA